rnacentral:rRNA from 1 species
GACGUAGGGCGCGAGCGUUGUCCGGAAUUACUGGGCGUAAAGAGCUCGUAGGUGGUUUGUCGCGUUGUUCGUGAAAACUCACAGCUCAACUGUGGGCGUGCGGGCGAUACGGGCAGACUAGAGUACUGCAGGGGAGACUGGAAUUCCUGGUGUAGCGGUGGAAUGCGCAGAUAUCAGGAGGAACACCGGUGGCGAAGGCGGGUCUCUGGGCAUCUCCUGACGCUGAGGCGCGAAAGCGUGGGGAGCAAACGGG